rnacentral:rRNA from 1 species
UACCUGCAGCUCAAGUGGUAACCGCUAUUAUUGGGCCUAAAGCGUCCGUAGCCGGUUUGGUAAAUAUCUGGGUAAAUCGUGAGGCUUAACUUCACGAAUUUCGGAUAGACUACCAGACUUGGGAUCGGGGGAGGUCAGAGGUGCUCCAGGGGUAGCGGUGAAAUGUUGUAAUCCUUGGAGGACCACCGGUAGCGAAGGCGUCUGACUAGAACGAGUCCGACGGUGAGGGACGAAGCCCUGGGGCGCAAACCGGAUUAGAUACCCGGGUAGUCCAGGGUGUAAACGAUGUGGGCUUUGUAUUGGAGGUCCCACGUGGGCGUCCAGUGCAGAAGAGAAGUUGUUAAGCCCACCGCCUGGGAAGUACGGUCGCAAGGCUGAAACUUAAAGGAAUUGGCGGGGGAGCACAGCAACGGGAGGAGCGUGCGGUUU